rnacentral:rRNA from 1 species
CCUACGGGUGACAGCAGUGAGGAAUAUUGGUCAAUGGGCGGAAGCCUGAACCAGCCAAGUCGCGUGAGGGAUGAAGGAUCUAUGGAUGGUAAACUGCUUUUGUAAGGGAAUAAAGGCCGGUACGUGUCCGGGGAUGAGGGUACCGGAAGAAGAAAGAUCGGCUAAUUCCGUGCCAGCAGCCGCGGUAAUACGGAAGGUUCGGGCGUUAUCCGGAUUUAUUGGGUUUAAAGGGUGCGUAGGCAGCCUGUCAAGCCUGCUGUUAAAUGCCCGGGCUCAACCCCGGGCAUGCAGCGGAAACUGGCGUGCUUGAGUUCGCGAGAGGUAGGCGGAAUUCGUGGUGUAGCGGUGAAAUGCUUAGAUAUUACGAAGAACCCCGAUUGCGAAGGCAGCGUACUGCAUCGGAACUGACGCUGAUGCUCGAAAGCGCGGGUAUCGAACAGGAUUAGAUACCCUGGUAGUC